UGUGUUUCCGAGCUCCUGUCACACCCGUCUCGUACUCCUCCUCUCUGAGUUCAAGGUCGCCGUGCGGCUAUUUCCAGCUCGUCUUCGCUUUGAUCUGUGUCGCAAAAUGACAAGGAGAGGACGUUCCUGAGGAGGAGCAGCUGAGCUCCAAAGAUCAGAAGAGCAUCGAGCCAAAUGACAACACUCCUAUCAUCGAUAACCUGCCGCCGGCUGGAGGAGGCGUCUCGGUCACCGGCGACGAGCGGAGCAAAUACGAGGAGGACAUCAGCACCCUGUACAAACAGCUGGAUGACAAGGAUGAUGAGAUCAACCAACAGAGUCAGCUGGCUGAGAAACUCAAGGAGCAGA